rnacentral:misc_RNA from 1 species
GGAAUACCCAUCGCAGGCCCCCAAGUAAACUUGCCAUAUCCAUCAUAUCUCCUAUCAAUCUAAUUGCCCUUAUACCUCCCAUUGACAAAGUAUGUAUAAAACUCACUGCCAUUACAUUUCUCUUAGUGAAAUUCUCCUUCAAAUAAUUCUCCGUUGCUAUAGAAUUCCAUUUUGCCUUUUAUAAUCCUCUUCUCCUUCUGGAUUUUACUUUUGACUCACCAAUAAACCAUUUAAUGGGCUUCGAUUUGGCUCUAGAAAUGCAUAAUCGCAUCAAUUUGGGACUUGUUCACCUCUUCUCCUUUGAUUUGGGAUUUUUUUUUCUCUUCUCAAAUAAAAGAAGAA